ACGAACGCUGGCGGCGUGCUUAACACAUGCCAGUCGAACGGAAAGGCCCUGCUUUUGUGGGGUGCUCGGGUGGCGAACGGGUGAGUAACACGUGAGUAACCUGCCCUUGACUUUGGGAUAACUUCAGGAAACUGGGGCUAAUACCGGAUAGGAGCUCCUGCUGCAUGGUGGGGGUUGGAAAGUUUCGGCGGUUGGGGAUGGACUCGCGGCUUAUCAGCUUGUUGGUGGGGUAGUGGCUUACCAAGGCUUUGACGGGUAGCCGGCCUGAGAGGGUGACCGGCCACAUUGGGACUGAGAUACGGCCCAGACUCCUACGGGAGGCAGCAGUGGGGAAUAUUGCACAAUGGGCGGAAGCCUGAUGCAGCAACGCCGCGUGCGGGAUGACGGCCUUCGGGUUGUAAACCGCUUUCGCCUGUGACGAAGCGUGAGUGACGGUAAUGGGUAAAGAAGCACCGGCUAACUACGUG
rnacentral:rRNA from 1 species